rnacentral:rRNA from 1 species
UACGAAGGGGGCUAGCGUUGUUCGGAUUUACUGGGCGUAAAGAGCUCGUAGGCGGCUCAUUGCGUCAACCGUGAAAACCAGCAGCUCAACUGUUGGCUUGCGGUUGAUACGGGUGGGCUGGAGUUCGGUAGGGGAGACUGGAAUUCCUGGUGUAGCGGUGAAAUGCGCAGAUAUCAGGAGGAACACCGGUGGCGAAGGCGGGUCUCUGGGCCGAUACUGACGCUGAGGAGCGAAAGCGUGGGGAGCGAACAGG